rnacentral:lncRNA from 1 species
GGGGUAGAUGAGAGUGGGGAUUUGGAUCUGCCUGCCAGGCCGUCCUGGGCGCUGCAGGAAGCAACAUGACUUAGGUAACUGCCCAGAGGUCCCAGGCAUCUUCAAGGCCCUGGCCCUCUCCCCAGGUGCACCAGACAUGAUGCAGCAGCCGCGAGUGGAGACAGAUACCAUCGGGGCUGGCGAGGGGCCACAGCAGGCAGUGCCCUGGUCAGCCUGGGUCACGAGGCAUGGCUGGGUGCGCUGGUGGGUGAGCCACAUGCCCCCGAGCUGGAUCCAGUGGUGGAGCACCUCGAACUGGCGGCAACCGCUGCAGCGCCUGC